CUCUGUAUUCAUGAUCAUGGGCUGCCCAUAUCCUGGUCAUUGGCAGUGCAGACAGAGAAAAUGAGGAAAGGCUUGCCCCAUGCUUGGAGAGUCCACAUCCUCACCUUCAGUUCCGGAACCUUUCCUACA
rnacentral:snoRNA from 1 species